GCAGCUCAGCACAGCAAGCUUGACAGGACCUGUCUUCCUCUACUGUUAAUUUCACAGCCGGAUGAGUAGAAAGGACUUUAUAAGAUGACUCGAAAUGUCACACAAGAGUAAGAAGCACUGAGAAUGGACUAAAAUAAUUUUAUGGAAAGACAUGAAGAAUAAGGCACCAGGAGAAGAAGGAGAAUAAAAAGAAGAGACCUAUCCCAGGAGAAGACUGUUUACAACUGUGAAAAAGUGAAAACGAUCUAACUGUCCCUUCUAGAGGACUAGAGAGAUGAAGCUAAGUGCCUCACUCUUCUGUGGAGGGUUUGAUGUGUCUCCAGUCCCCAUCAUCAUCAGUCUUUGAGAAUCACUGACAAGCAUAGAAUGGAAUUGUUACCUGCCAUUAUUUUGUUACAAUUUACUGCUUGUAAUUUUUGUUAUCAAAGUAAUAGCAUUUUCAUUUUCCCAA